AGAAUCAACGCUGGCGGCGUGCCUAACACAUGCAAGUCGAACGAGAAAGUGGAGCAAUCCAUGAGUAAAGUGGCGCACGGGUGAGUAACACGUGACUAACCUACCCUUGAGUGGGGGAUAACCUAGGGAAACCUGGGCUAAUACCGCAUAAUACCUUCGGGUCAAAGGAGCAAUUCGCUUAAGGAGGGGGUCGCGGCAGAUUAGUUAGUUGGCGGGGUAAUGGCCCACCAAGACGAUGAUCUGUAUCCGGCCUGAGAGGGCGCACGGACACACUGGAACUGAAACACGGUCCAGACUCCUACGGGAGGCAGCAGUGGGGAAUUUUGCGCAAUGGGGGAAACCCUGACGCAGCAACGCCGCGUGGAGGAUGAAAUCCCUUGGGAUGUAAACUCCUUUCGAUCGGGAAGAUAAUGACGGUACCGGAAGAAGAAGCCCCGGCUAACUUCGCGCCAGCAGCCGC
rnacentral:rRNA from 1 species